UGUUUAUGUUCAAUCGUGUUAUUGCAUCGUUUUUGCAUAGUAUUGAAAUAUAUGAACUUUUUUUAUUGUAAAUCAAAAGUUUAUUUAAUUUUACGCAUAUGUUGCAUUUGUGGAUAAGUUUAAUUACUGCUUUUUAAACCUUUACACAACUACAGAAGAGUUACAAAAGGCUAAGGCGCAUUCAGAUUUUGAAUCUAUAUAGUUAAUGUUUUUUGGUAAAAAAUAGAUGUUACCAAAUUUAUUAUUAAGUUUAUUAAUUUAAAGCGUUCAUCUUUUCCAUAACUAUAAUUUUUUACAUUUUUAUUUGUUUAGUUUCAACUUCAACGUCAUAUCCUUCUAAUAACAGAGUAUCAGUAAUCUCUGUAGCGAUAUUAGUUCCUGUUUUAACUGUUCUUGUUGCAGUUGUUUUUGCUACUGCUGUGUUAAAGUUUCGCAAAAAAAAAUACGAAACACCUUUGAAUCUAAAUCCUUUUACUAUGGAUCAAUACAUUGGAUGUAAUGAAAUAUCACCAGAUGAAUGGGAAAUAUUUCCAGAAGAUAUUAUUAAGGAUAAAAAAAUUGGAGAAGGAGCAUUUGGUACAGUUUUUAAUGCAAAACUUAGUUCGACUGUUCUUUCAAAAAAAAAUUAUAAGAAAGAGAAAUCUGGAUUUC